rnacentral:lncRNA from 1 species
AGGGGAGAGUUUAUGCAGGAAAAAGGAUUUCCCUCUGUUGGGCUGCUCCCCAGCUAAGGAGGCCUGGUCUGUGGCCAGAAGUACUUUGCCUUUAAUCCCCGAUUUCUCAAAGUCAGAGGAAGAUUCCCACUGAUGCCAAGAACAGGACUCCAUGUUGAGAGGAGAGGGAAAUAAACAUGAAGAAGGAAAAAAAAUAAAAGAGCUAAUUGUGGAAAAGAAGCACAGAAACAGAAGAGGUGGAAAGGAAAAGAGCGAUGAAGAAAUAUAGAAUGCUUUCAUUUUUUGUUGAAAAAGUGUGAAAAAAAAUAUAUAAAACUCCAAGAAGCAAAGAAAAAAUAAAAGGAAGAAGAGUAGGAAGAACA